CCUACGGGUGGCAGCAGUGAGGAAUAUUGGUCAAUGGACGAGAGUCUGAACCAGCCAAGUCGCGUGAAGGAUGACUGCCCUAUGGGUUGUAAACUUCUUUUAUAUGGGAAUAAAACGUUCCACGUGUGGGAUUUUGUAUGUACCAUAUGAAUAAGGAUCGGCUAACUCCGUGCCAGCAGCCGCGGUAAUACGGAGGAUCCGAGCGUUAUCCGGAUUUAUUGGGUUUAAAGGGAGCGUAGGUGGAUUGUUAAGUCAGUUGUGAAAGUUUGCGGCUCAACCGUAAAAUUGCAGUUGAAACGGGCAGUCUUGAGUACAGUAGAGGUGGGCGGAAUUCGGGGUGUAGCGGUGAAAUGCUUAGAUAUCACGAAGAACGCCGAUUGCGAAGGCAGUUCACUGGACUGCAACUGACACUGAGGCUCGAAAGUGUGGGUAUCAAACAGGAUUAGAUACCCGAGUAGUC
rnacentral:rRNA from 1 species